GUCAGUGAAACGUCUCUGUAAAACUCAAGCUGUUCUCCCGUAGAUGGUAGUUCACCUUUCGCUUGAAACGUCAAAUUUUGGGAAUCGGGCAUCAAUAAGAAGUAGCAACAUCUCUUUUCAUGUAAAACAACAUUGGCUCGAUUUUGAUAAGCCCUAAAAAGUUUCAUUGCUGGAGCACCAAAAAUUUCCAUCGCGGAGUGACCUUCUCAUGGUGGAUUUAGCAAAAAAAAAAAUUUGAUGUUCCUGCAGAUGGAGAAAUUGGGGAUGGAGAUUAUCUUAGUUUGGAAUGAGAGGCUGAGGUGCAAGGAUCUAAAAAUAUUGGAGGAAAAGACUGUUUGGAGCUUGAAUGAAAUUAUGUUACUAUUUCGGUUAUGAAUACUUGGGAAGAUUGCAGUGGAGAGUGGAGACUAUAUCUCCCAGAUCUAUAUCUGGCUAAGCAGGUGGCGUGACAUAUAAAAUUUAACAGCCAUUUUGGAUCGGUUCCAGCCAGCCAGUUUGUCAUCUAGCCUGCUGUUGUUGCUAAUUCAACUUUCAUAAUUUGCACAUGAAGCCAUUUAGAGGCUAUAAGAAAACUACAUCUUGCAACUGAAGCAUCUGCACAACGUACAAUCAAGUUGCCAUCCCCCCAUAAGGAAGGCAUAUGUACUAAACAAAUUAUGCCUGGGGUCAUACCACUUACGAAUUAAGCAUUGCUCAUUUUUUUUUUUAUAAAUAUUUUGUAACUUUAGAUUCGAUGGUUGAUUCAUAUGCUGUGAUAGAUUAUUUGCAUACAUUGUAAUUCUAGAAUGUAAAAACUUGAAUUUUGGGACGCUUGCUCCGUCGGAAAUGGAGGCCAGAUAUCUGUUUA